rnacentral:rRNA from 1 species
AUGAAGCCGAGGCUCGACGACGGGGGCGUCAGGUUCCCGUCAUUUCAGUUCCUAGGAAAUGCGGCGGUGGCGGCAGCAGCUCCUUCGACCUUCGGUGGAUUCAUCCUCUUCGUGAUCGUUUUGCUCCUCGACUACCUGAGGGAGUUCGAGAGGAACCUGCUGAAUGGGCUGCGGAGGGGCAACGACUAUGACAGCGGGCUAGCACCAUUGUAG